rnacentral:rRNA from 1 species
GACGGAGGAUGCAAGUGUUAUCCGGAAUCACUGGGCGUAAAGCGUCUGUAGGUUGUUUAAAAAAGUCUGCAGUUAAAGGUUGAAGCUUAACUUCAAAAAUGCCGUAGAAACUUUUAAACUAGAGGAUGGUAGGGGUAGAGGGAAUUUCCAGUGGAGCGGUGAAAUGCGUAGAGAUCGGAAAGAACACCAACGGCGAAAGCACUCUGCUGGGCCGACACUGACACUGAGAGACGAAAGCUAGGGGAGCGAAUGGG